rnacentral:misc_RNA from 1 species
GAUGAAGAACGCAGCGAAAUGCGAUACGUAGUGUGAAUUGCAGAAUUCAGUGAAUCAUCGAAUCUUUGAACGCACAUUGCACCUCUCGGUAUUCCGGGAGGUAUGCCUGUUCGAGCGUCAUUUGUACCCUCAAGCUCUGCUUGGUGUUGGGUGUUUGUUCCGCCUCUGUGUGUGAACUCGCCUCAAAACAAUUGGCAGCCGGCGUACUUGUUUCGGAGCGCAGCACAUUUUGCGAUCCAGAUCAACGUACAGCGGCAUCCAAGAAGCCUUAUUUAACGCUCUUGACCUCGGAUCAGGUAGGGAUACCCGUUGAACUUAAGCAUAUCAAUAAGCGGAGGA